rnacentral:tRNA from 1 species
GGAGGAUUAGCUCAGCUGGGAGAGCACCUGCCUUACAAGCAGGGGGUUGGCGGUUCGAGCCCGUCAUCCUCCA